rnacentral:rRNA from 1 species
UUCGCCCUUAGAGUUUGAUCCUGGCUCAGAGCGAACGCUGGCGGCAGGCUUAACACAUGCAAGUCGAGCGGGCGUAGCAAUACGUCAGCGGCAGACGGGUGAGUAACGCGUGGGAACGUACCUUUUGGUUCGGAACAACACAGGGAAACUUGUGCUAAUACCGGAUAAGCCCUUACGGGGAAAGAUUUAUCGCCGAAAGAUCGGCCCGCGUCUGAUUAGCUAGUUGGUGAGGUAACGGCUCACCAAGGCGACGAUCAGUAGCUGGUCUGAGAGGAUGAUCAGCCACAUUGGGACUGAGACACGGCCCAAACUCCUACGGGAGGCAGCAGUGGGGAAUAUUGGACAAUGGGGGCAACCCUGAUCCAGCCAUGCCGCGUGAGUGAUGAAGGCCCUAGGGUUGUAAAGCUCUUUUGUGCGGGAAGAUAAUGACGGUACCGCAAGAAUAAGCCCCGGCUAACUUCGUGCCAGCAGCCGCGGUAAUACGAAGGGGGCUAGCGUUGCUCGGAAUCACUGGGCGUAAAGGGUGCGUAGGCGGAUCUUUAAGUCAGAGGUGAAAGCCUGGAGCUCAACUCCAGAACUGCCUUUGAUACUGGGGAUCUUGAGUUCGGGAGAGGUGAGUGGAACUGCGAGUGUAGAGGUGAAAUUCGUAGAUAUUCGCAAGAACACCAGUGGCGAAGGCGGCUCACUGGCCCGAUACUGACGCUGAGGCACGAAAGCGUGGGGAGCAAACAGGAUUAGAUACCCUGGUAGUCCACGCCGUAAAC